rnacentral:rRNA from 1 species
GAUGAACGCUGGCGGCGUGCCUAACACAUGCAAGUCGAACGGACAUUUUUUGGGAAAGCUCUUCGGAACUGGAAUCUAAAUGUUAGUGGCGGACGGGUGAGUAACGCGUGAGCAAUCUGCCUUUCAGAGGGGGAGUAACAGCCGGAAACGGCUGCUAGUACCGCAUGACAUACGGACAUGGCAUCAUGAUCGUAUCAAAGGAGCAAUCCGCUUUAAGAUGGACUCGCGUCCAAUUAGCUAGUUGGUGAGGUAACGGCCCACCAAGGCGACGAUUGGUAGCCGGACUGAGAGGUUGAACGGCCACAUUGGGACUGAGACACGGCCCAG